UUCGAUUCUGGCUCAGGAUGAACGCUGGCGGCGUGCUUAACACAUGCAAGUCGAACGAAGCAACUAUCUUGCUUGCAAGAGAGUUGACUUAGUGGCGGACGGGUGAGUAACGCGUGGGUAACCUGCCUCAUACAGGGGGAUAACAGUUGGAAACGACUGCUAAGACCGCAUAACCCGCUAGUGUCGCAUGACGCGGACGGAAAAUAUUUAUAGGUAUGAGAUGGGCCCGCGUCUGAUUAGCUAGUUGGUAAGGUAACGGCUUACCAAGGCGACGAUCAGUAGCCGACUUGAGAGAGUGAUCGGCCACAUUGGGACUGAGACACGGCCCGAACUCCUACGGGAGGCAGCAGUGGGGAAUAUUGGACAAUGGGGGAAACCCUGAUCCAGCGACGCCCGCGUGAGUGAAGAAGUAUUUCGGUAUGUAAAGCUCUAUCAGCAGGGAAGAUAAUGACAGUACCUGACUAAGAAGCCCCGGCUAACUACGUGCCAGCAGCUGC
rnacentral:rRNA from 1 species